AUGCUGUUGCUGCUGCUGCUGCUCCUGGGGCCUGGCUCCGGGCUGGGGGCAUCUGUCUCUCAGCACCCCAGCAGGGCCAUCUGCAGGAACGGAGCCUCGGUGAAGAUCCAGUGUCACGCAGAGGGCGUCCAGGCCACCACGAUGCUGUGGUAUCGGCAGCCGCCCACACAGGGCUUCACCCUCAUUGCAACAUCCAAUCAGGGCGCCGAUGCCACCUACGAGCAAGGCUUCUCCAAGGCCAAGUUCCCCAUCAGCCAUCCCAACCUCAGCUUCUCGGCCCUGACGGUGACCAGUGCCCAGGCCGAAGACAGCAGCCUCUACUUCUGUGGGGCCAUAAUAAAUGUUGGAGAGGAUGAAGUGAUAGAGGGACUUUUAUACAUUGUUGCUCACCUGGUCUUCAUUCAUUGCUGA